rnacentral:rRNA from 1 species
UACGGAGGGGGCAAGCGUUGUUCGGAAUUACUGGGCGUAAAGGGCUCGUAGGUGGCCAACUAAGUCAUACGUGAAAUCCCUCGGCUUAACCGGGGAACUGCGUCUGAUACUGGAUGGCUUGAGUUUGGGAGAGGGAUGCGGAAUUCCAGGUGUAGCGGUGAAAUGCGUAGAUAUCUGGAGGAACACCGGUGGCGAAGGCGGCAUCCUGGACCGGCAUUGACGCUGAGGCGCGAAAGCUAGGGGAGCAAACAGG